UACGUAGGGGGCAAGCGUUGUCCGGAAUCAUUGGGCGUAAAGAGCGUGUAGGCGGCCAGAUAAGUCCGCUGUGAAAUCUCGAGGCUCAACUUCGAGCUGUCGGUGGAAACUGUCUGGCUAGAGUCCGGAAGAGGAGAAUGGAAUUCCUGGUGUAGCGGUGGAAUGCGCAGAUAUCAGAGGAACACCGAUGGCGAAGGCAGGUCACUGGGCCGCAACUGACGCUGAGGAGCGAAAGCAUGGGGGAGCGAACAGG
rnacentral:rRNA from 1 species